rnacentral:rRNA from 1 species
CCCGGCCUACGGGACGCAGCAGUAGGGAAUCUUCCACAAUGGACGAAAGUCUGAUGGAGCAACGCCGCGUGAGUGAAGAAGGGUUUCGGCUCGUAAAGCUCUGUUGGUAGUGAAGAAAGAUAGAGGUAGUAACUGGCCUUUAUUUGACGGUAAUUACUUAGAAAGUCACGGCUAACUACGUGCCAGCAGCCGCGGGAAUACGGAGGUGGCAAGCGUUGUCCGGAUUUAUUGGG